GAUGAACGCUGACAGAAUGCUUAACACAUGCAAGUCAACUUGAAUUUGGGUUUUUAACUUAGGUUUGGGUGGCGGACGGGUGAGUAACGCGUAAAGAACUUGCCUCACAGCUAGGGACAACAUUUGGAAACGAAUGCUAAUACCUAAUAUUAUGAUAAUAGGGCAUCCUAUAAUUAUGAAAGCUAUAAGCGCUGUGAGAGAGCUUUGCGUCCCAUUAGCUAGUUGGAGAGGUAACGGCUCACCAAGGCGAUGAUGGGUAGCCGGCCUGAGAGGGUGAUCGGCCACAAGGGGAUUGAGUCACGGCCCUUACUCCUACGGGAGGCAGCAGUGGGGAAUAUUGGACAAUGGACCGAGAGUCUGAUCCAGCAACUCUGUGUGCACGAGGAAGUUUUUCGGAAUGUAAAGUGCUUUCAGUUGGGAAGAAACAAAUGACGGUACCAACAGAAGAAGUGACGGCUAAAUACGUG
rnacentral:rRNA from 1 species